UUUUAAAAUAGUAUAAAAUCGUUAAAAUUCAUGAUUUGCGUGAACAAAAGUUUUCUCAUAUAGCCGGUGAAAAUGGAACACCGUCUAAAGGCGGAUCUGCCGGUCAACAGACCGCCACAGACCACACCAUUCCGUUGAUUUAAUUAUUUUUUCAACGAUGACUUGCAAAAUUAAAUUGUGUAUCAGAGCAAUUUGUAUGCAAAACAGCAAGAUGCUUCUACAAACUUUACGUUGACAUCGUGUGAUUUAAAAAAAUAUAUCGGAAUUUUGAUUUAUAUGUCUGUGUACCGAUAUCCCAGUGUCGAGAGUUACUGGUCCAACAUUCUUUCGAGCCAGUUAGAAACGCAAUGUCUUCCAAAAAGUUCUUCUCAAUCGGAAAAUAUCUUCACUUCAAUGAUAGCAAAAAUAUGAAAAAACCACAGGAAGCAGGAUUUGAUGAACUGCAUAAAAUUUGUCCAAACUCAAUAUGCAAUUUGAUUCUGUGCCAAAAACAGCUCGGUUGUGCAUUGAUGAACAAAUGUGUUCAACAAAAAUGUUGACAAAAUUUCGACAAUAUAUGCCCGUAAAGCCCUAUAAAUAUGGCAUGAAACUUUUUGUUCUUUGUGACUCGAAUGGCUUUUCGUACAAAUUGGAAGUAUACAAAGGAGCUGGCGAUAAUAAAGUAUUACCUAAUACUCCUGAUUGAGGAUCAACAGCCAAUGUAGUCAUGAAGUUGUUAAGAACCGUCCGAUCUACAGAAUACCCAACUACAAGCUGACAAAGGAAGUGGAAUUAAAAGAUAAAGAACGUGGAUACUCAGAGGAGUUUGUUGGCCGAGUCUUUAGAGUGGACAUAUCUUGUGUUCAAUGGAAGGAUACAAAAUAUGUACGACUGCUAUCCACGUAUGCUGGAAUUAAUCCAUUUAAAACACUAAACCGCAAUUCACAACCCUUAAAAAUAUGCCGUUAUGAUCGGAAAAAUAAAUGCUACGUCGAUCUAGACUGUCCUAAUAUAAUUAAAGAAUAUAACCGCCAUAUGGGUGGUGUUGAUUUGAUGGACAGUUUACUUGGUCACAUCAGAGUUAAGACCAAAAAAUGGACUUUGCGUUUAUUUUAUCACUUAAUUGAUAUGUCGAUAGUAAAAUCAUGCCUCCUUUUUCAGCGUAUUCAUGGAAUUAACUGUAAAGAUAUUUAUCAUAAAGAAUUACCAAAUUUUCGUGUUGAAGUGGCUUACAUAUGUACUUUGUCAUUAUGAGUAGACCAACGCCAAAAGAGCUGUCGGUAGACCUCAGAGCCAAAGUCCACAAAUACAAAAUGGAGUUGGACAUAUGCCUGACGUUUUGAGCCGUAGUGACAAAAAAGUAUGUAAACUUCCGGGAUGUAAGUCCGAAACACAAAUGUAGUUGUGUAAGUGUAAAUUAAAUCUGGGUCUCUCAAACAAUGUUUUCAAAUUUAUCAUCAAAACAAUAAAAGGAUCU